GUGUAGCUCAAUUGGUAGAGCAACUGAUUUGUAAUCAGUAGGUUAUGAGUUCAAGUCUCUUCACU
rnacentral:ncRNA from 14 species